GACGAACGCUGGCGGCGUGCUUAACACAUGCAAGUCGAACGGAAAGGCCCUGCUUUUGUGGGGUGCUCGAGUGGCGAACGGGUGAGUAACACGUGAGUAACCUGCCCUUGACUUUGGGAUAACUUCAGGAAACUGGGGCUAAUACCGGAUAGGAGCUCCUGCUGCAUGGUGGGGGUUGGAAAGUUUCGGCGGUUGGGGAUGGACUCGCGGCUUAUCAGCUUGUUGGUGGGGUAGUGGCUUACCAUGGCUUUGACGGGUAGCCGGCCUGAGAGGGUGACCGGCCACAUUGGGACUGAGAUACGGCCUAGACUCCUACGGGAGGCAGCAGUGGGGAAUAUUGCACAAUGGGCGGAAGCCUGAUGCAGCAACGCCGCGUGCGGGAUGACGGCCUUCGGGUUGUAAACCGCUUUCGCCUGUGACGAAGCGUGAGUGACGGUAAUGGGUAAAGAAGCACCGGCUAACUACGUG
rnacentral:rRNA from 1 species